rnacentral:tRNA from 1 species
UCCCUGAUGGUCCAGUAGUUAAGACUCCACGCUUUCACUGUAGGGGGCGCAGGUUCGAUCCCUGGUCAGAGAA